UAAACGGUGGGUACUAGGUGUGGGGGACAUUCCACGUUCUCUGUGCCGUAGCUAACGCAUUAAGUACCCCGCCUGGGGAGUACGGCCGCAAGGCUAAAACUCAAAGGAAUUGACGGGGCCCCGCACAAGCGGCGGAGCAUGCGGAUUAAUUCGAUGCAACGCGAAGAACCUUACCUGGGUUUGACAUAUAUCGGAAACGUUCAGAGAUGGGCGCCCCGUAAGGUCGGUAUACAGGUGGUGCAUGGCUGUCGUCAGCUCGUGUCGUGAGAUGUUGGGUUAAGUCCCGCAACGAGCGCAACCCUCGUCCAAUGUUGCCAGCGGGUUAUGCCGGGGACUCAUUGGAGACCGCCGGGGUCAACUCGGAGGAAGGUGGGGAUGACGUCAAGUCAUCAUGCCCCUUAUGUCCAGGGCUUCACGCAUGCUACAAUGGCUGGUACAGAGGGUUGCGAUGCCGNNNGGUGGAGCGAAUCCCUUAAAGCCAGUCUCAGUUCGGAUUGGGGUCUGCAACUCGACCCCAUGAAGUCGGAGUCGCUAGUAACCGCAGAUCAGCAUUGCUGCGGUGAAUACGUUCCCGGGCCUUGUACACACCGCCCGUCAAGUCAUGAAAGUCGGUAACACCCGAAGCCGGUGNNNNNNCCUUUUUGGGGGGAGCUGUCUAAGGUGGGAUCGGUGAUUAGGAGUAAGUCGUAACAAGGUAGCC
rnacentral:rRNA from 1 species